CCCAUCGCUGGUGGCUCCGGCUCCCACGGCGGUGGCAUCCCGCCGCACGCCUCUCGGCCCCCCUCACUGGCGGCCCCAGCCCCGGCGACACACGGAGAGCGAAAAGGAUGGGUCUCCGGCGCACCACCAGAUCCCUCGCGCUCCACCUACCUUUGUCGCCACCAUCCCUGUUCUUAUCUCCCAUUGAACCUUGCAGUCGGUCGGUCGCUCCGCCUACUCAGGUACGCAUGCACACCUCCUCCAUCUGCCGCUCCCGUUCGUUUAGCAACUAGCUCCGUCUCCACCUUUAUAUACUUGGACUCCCCUGCAACUCUGCAGAAGUAAUAUUUUAAGAGAGGCUGAAUAAUCAAAGACCCUCUUCUGGUCCAAACAUAGAGCAUAAAGAAGAUAGCAAUCUGGAUAGUAUACAUACUGAUAGUAAAAAAAGACUUAUAUAACACCAUCCAUUACUUUUUUUGUAUACAUUCAUAUAUAACUACUUGGUUUGGGUAAAAUAACUGAAUUUGGCACACUACACUAAAGAAACACAGAUUCUGAACUAAAUAAUUAUUUUAUUUUUUAAGUGAAGGUUCAAUGCCUAUUGGGAUAACGAUGGUGGAUAGAUUCAGGAAGGGACGGUGUAUUGUUUUGGGUGAUUUUAUUUCUUUGGUUGGCUGUCUGUUUUGUGCGGUUGCUGCAAAAUUUUCUCUAUAUAGCAUUGUAGCUAUUGAAUACUUGUCUUAUGCAGCAGCAGCGACAGCGGUGUAACAAGCACAGAUUAGGCUUGAAUUAUGUAUUUUUUGUAUUUAGGUAUUAAGAAGUAGCUAUCUCAAAUAUCUCUGAACUCAAGUGACUGUCCCGUUCUCUGACCAUACAAGAAUUGGCAGAUUUUUGGAAGUGUUUCUGACCUACUGAAGUAUGCAAAGAGGGAACCUUCCCAUGGGAGAUCAACUUCUAUGUUGUCCAGCAUAAUAGAGAAGUCAUUAGCUGCUUCUUCUGUACUUAAUUUCUUAUAAGCAGCGACAAGAAAACUUCUUCUGAUGUCAUUAGCUCUGCAUAGAGACUAAAGGAAUCCUCACCAUGUCGAGGACACAAGCAAAUUACCAGAAAACAAUCCUCAAGUUUUGAAUUGUGAUGUGAAAACACCGUCAAAAGUGGUUAAUGAAUUGUCACCCACUUUUACUCCUGCAGAUCCGUCAAAAGGCUCAAGUAUAAGCUUGUUAAAAACUUCUGGUGCGAGAGAAUUGUUGAAGCUAGAUCCUGAAAUGCACUACCAAAUCAGCUAAGAAAUGAUUACAUAGGAAGGAAGGAUAUGGCCCAUGUUAGUAUUUUAUUAAGCCAUAAUUUGUAUGAUGAUGUUGUCAAGCUUUAGAAGAAGGAAGGAUAUGGUCCAUGUUAGUAUUUUCUCCAUCUGGCACACGAGCACCUUACAAACAUAUCCAAAUCUCAGCAUGGCCGUAGUGAGAUUGGUCGUGGCCAUGGUUUGGAUUUAGCCUGUUUCUCUGCUUUAGCCUCUGUGGUCAUGGUUUGGAUUCCUGCAGAGAUUAUACUUAUUAGUUAUGUAUGGUUGGAUGAUGUGUAUAGUGUAUUAUCCUUAUUAGUUCUUGCUUUUUCAAUUCUUUGAUGUGCCAUCAUAAUUAAGUAUUCUGCAAUUUAUAGUUAUGUACUGCUCCUGUUGAAAUAUUAUUCAGUUCACCAAUGUGUGGUCACAUUUUUCAGGGAUUUGGACACCUUUCAUUAAUUACAUACCCUUGCUGCUAAUAUGCUUGUUGAUUGGUCUCUAGAAAUAAUCUAAAUCAUUUAAAGAAGCCCAAGCAGCAGGAUUCAUCGAAGAGAGUGGGACUCUGGGUGAUAUAUGGGAGACUGUGUCAAGCAGUGAUCUUGUUUUGCUACUGAUAUCUAAUUCUGCUCAGGUCCGCUUCAUUGAUCUAGAUAUAUGCUUAGAAGCUUUGCACUUUGAAUUGAUCAACACUUUGUGUUUUCAACUAUUAUUGUUUUGAUUGUGUUGCUUUGAAGUGAGACCGAUUAUUAUGUUUAGAACUUUUCCUUAUGACUAACACAAUUCUUAUCAACUUUUUAUGCUACUCGUUAAGGGCUUUAAGAAUGAGCUUUAGAUUGCAAAAA